UAUUAAUUGUAAAGCUGAAAUAACAACUCGGUAAAGAUGUUAAGGUGGUAAAUUCAAAUGUAUUAUGCUUUUAGUUCUAUGAUGUGAUGACUACAUAAUGUCACCUGUUGGUGGCAGUAAAGUAGUAAGCGUACAGUCAAACCUUAAAAACAUAAUAAAGGAGAUAGUCCACUCAUUCCUUCUGAAGUGCACUUGAUUAGUUACUGAACUUUUAAUUUUACACCCACUGAAGCACUGAACUGUUUAACUGGAAGUCUUAAACCCUAUUACUUUGUUCCUCAUUGCCUUUCAUCUGAAAUAAAAAUAAAAUUGUGUGAAAGGUAUUUUACCUAUUUUAAGAAAACACAGGGCGUAGUGAGGAGGGACCACGUAGUGAAUUGAACUGACCCAAGGAUGUGCCCCAGCAGCGCGCGCGCAGAGGAACGACAUUCCUUCGACUGAGGAACCAGAAAUCUGUGAUUUUACAACACUCGCUCAAAAAGGCUUUCACAUACAGUGCUGUUGACCUUGACUUAAUUGGGCAUUGUUUCUUGCCAGCAUCCCAGCUUUCCCCAAACCCCCGAAACGAUAACUCAUUGAACUCAUUGAACUCAUUGAACUCAUUGAACUCAUUGAACUCAUUGAACUCAUAACUCAUUGAACUCAUAACUCAUUGAACUCAUAACUCAUUGAACUCAUUGAACUCAUAACUCAUUGAACUCAUAACUCAUUGAACUCAUUGAACUCAUAACUCAUUGAACUCAUAACUCAUCCAUAUAAUAACUCAUCCAUAUAACUCAUCCAUAUAACUCAUCCAUAUAAUAACUCAUCCAUAUAAUAACUCAUCCAUAUAAUAACUCAUUCAUAUAAUAACUCAUCCAACCCAGAAGUCAUCCAACCCAGAAGUCAUCCAACCCAGAAGACAACAAAGACAAACAAUCUGCAGGUCCCUAAACAACGGGAAAAAGACCACAAAAGCCCAGUAAACGCCUGGCUCACCACCUAGAAAGCUCUGAAGAAACUGGACCUGCAGCACACACACAAUUAUACCACAAAUCACUUUAGCAUAGCUUAACAUUUUAUAGCUAUACAUUACAAAUACAGUACUUGAAUAAACAACUGUAUAGACAGUUCUACAUUUCGUUCAUAUAUUAAGUGAGUCCACUUUUGCAGUUAUAAUACUUUGUCUUUAUUGACAACAAUUGAAAUAAUAAUUUGAUCAGUUUUUUUUUACAUAAUUGCAUAAGGAGACUAUUACACAUUUGUUUCCUAAAAAGGUAUUAUCAAAUCUUUGUAUUGUUAAAGGUUAAUUUUACAAAGAAGUACCAUCAUAACAUUUGUGUACUGACUAUUAAUUGUUCAUUUCAUUGUUUGGUGUCAUCUUUUCAGUUACAAGAUAUUUAUCUUUUGUGUAAGGACUUGGAAAUUAAUUUUAUGAAGCAUUAUCCUUAAGAGUUCUGUUAAGGGUUAAUAAAAAGGUAUCAAAUUUUGUGUUUCCCAUCAUAAAGAGGUCUUUUGAUAA